rnacentral:rRNA from 1 species
UGAGGAAUAUUGGUCAAUGGACGAGAGUCUGAACCAGCCAAGUAGCGUGCAGGAUGACGGCCCUAUGGGUUGUAAACUGCUUUUGUUUGGGAAUAAUCGACAUUACGUGUAAUGUUUUGCAUGUACCAUUCGAAUAAGGACCGGCUAAUUCCGUGCCAGCAGCCGCGGUAAUACGGAAGGUCCAGGCGUUAUCCGGAUUUAUUGGGUUUAAAGGGAGUGUAGGCGGUUGGUUAAGCGUGUUGUGAAAUGUAGACGCCCAACGUCUGCAUCGCAGCGCGAACUGGGACGCUUGAGUACGCGCAACGUUGGCGGAAUUCGUCGUGUAGCGGUGAAAUGCUUAGAUAUGACGAGGAACUCCGAUUGCGAAGGCAGCUGACGGGAGCGGCACUGACGCUUAAGCUCGAAGGUGCGGGUAUCAAACAGG